AUGAGUGACGCUUCAGCUCCCCAUUCAUUCAACCUUAUCUCUCCUUCGAACAACUUCUCUCUGAAUUCCUCAUCAGAGCGAUUUACGAUGGCCAACACUAUCGUGAAUCAUCCCUUAGCCUCCUCUAAUCACUACAAAAUCAACACAAACCCUACUUCUUUUACAUUCCUAAUCACGAAUCCCACGUCUUCUUCCAUCAAUUUCCCUUCAAACAUUCUGAAUCUGAGUUUUAUACGUAAACCCUAG